rnacentral:lncRNA from 1 species
CUGAUCGUUUCUGGAGCAAGUGGCAAAGGGCUUGAUGGUUGGUACUCGAGGUCCCAAGUUCGAAUCCUAGUUGAUUCACAUUUUCAGCUAAUUUUAUUUCUAAAUAAAAUAAACGAAGCGGAUAGCAUGCUAACUGUCUCUCAAAAAUAAUAAUAAAAAUAAUUUGUUGCAAUUUUUUGAGAAACCAAACAACCUCUUAUAGAUAAUCUUGUAAAACAUUAAAAUACAAAAUAAAAAAAUAAAACUACUCUUCUAAUGAAUGUAAAUAAAUCAAAGAACAUGCUAAAUUCAUUUGCGACUUUCAUUUAAUAUAUCUAAUUUUCAAAUUUAAAAAUUUAGAGGAGGUAUUUGCACAUUUAUCCCCCACUAAUUAUAAUAAUAAGAGGGCAAAAUGUUGCAUUUUAUACUACAAAAUAAUACAAGGAAGAGGCCAUCAUUUUAGACCAUUUAGUUUGGUCAUCUAAUAAUUUAAUUUGCUUUUAAUGAUAACACAAGCUAGUUUUUGUCAUGUUGCAUUAAUGAUUAAUGAAGGGUGAAUACAAUGCAACCUUAUUGAGAUAGUACAAAUUUUGAUUGCAUUAAAAGCAAAUUAUAUAAAAGAAAAAGUUAUUGAAAUGAUAAACUUUAAUUCACACUAAUUCCAAAAUCUCAUUAUAUAAUAAUAAGAACAAAAUUUGAUGAGAAAUUGAUUGAACUAGUACGGGCAUAAUAACAUUUUAUUAUGUGCACACUUUAAUUUUCUCAACUACUUCAAUUCACC